rnacentral:rRNA from 1 species
GAUGAACGCUGGCGGCGUGCUUAACACAUGCAAGUCGAACGAUGAAGCCCAGCUUGCUGGGUGGAUUAGUGGCGAACGGGUGAGUAACACGUGAGUAACCUGCCCUUGACUCUGGGAUAAGCCUGGGAAACUGGGUCUAAUACUGGAUAUGACUUCUCAUCGCAUGGUGGGGGGGGGAAAGAUUUAUUGGUCUUGGAUGGACUCGCGGCCUAUCAGCUUGUUGGUGAGGUAAUGGCUCACCAAGGCGACGACGGGUAGCCGGCCUGAGAGGGUGACCGGCCACACUGGGACUGAGACACGGCCCAGACUCCUACGGGAGGCAGCAGUGGGGAAUAUUGCACAAUGGGCGCAAGCCUGAUGCAGCGACGCCGCGUGAGGGAUGACGGCCUUCGGGUUGUAAACCUCUUUCAGUAGGGAAGAAGCGAGAGUGACGGUACCUGCAGAAGAAGCGCCGGCUAACUACGCG